AUACGGAGGGUGCAAGCGUUACUCGGAAUCACUGGGCGUAAAGCGCGCGCAGGCGGCUAUUUAAGUUGGAUGUGAAAGCCUACGGCUCAACCGUAGAACUGCAUCCAAAACUAUUUAGCUAGAGUGUGGGAGAGGAAGAUGGAAUUAGUUGUGUAGGGGUAAAAUCCGUAGAGAUAACUAGGAAUACCAAAAGCGAAGGCAAUCUUCUGGAACACUACUGACGCUGAGGCGCGAAAGCGUGGGAAGCAAACGGGAUUAGAAACCCCAGUAGUCC
rnacentral:rRNA from 1 species